AUGUUAGGUCCUAUGCAACCUGAGCUACAGACCUAUAAACCUUCUGGUGAAAAAGGGCAUCAACGCCGCUUCCAGUACAAAUGGUUUGACAAUUUCAAGAAAUGGCUAGAGUAUUCGGAGGACAAACAUCGUGCUUAUUGUUUGUAUUGCUUUGUCUCUAGUAAAAAUGAGAAUAGACGAGGUGGUUCUCAUGUCUUCACAGUAGAUGGAUUUGACAGUUGGAAGAGAGUUAACUCUGGAAAACAUUGUGCAUUCUUAACCCACAUGGGCUCUGGACCAUGCUCACCACACAAUAAUGCAUUCACAGAUGGCCAAGCCUUGCUGAAUCAAUCAUGCCACAUAGAAACUAUUAUGGUAGUUAAGGACAAGGAGAAAGUAGAAAGAAACCGUCUCAGACUGAAAGUUUCAAUUGCAACGGUUAAGUGGCUCGCACUUCAAUCUUGUGCUUUUAGAGGACAUGACGAAAGACCCGAGUCAAAGAAUAAAGGCAACUUUCUUGAAAUGGUGGAGCUUCUUGCUGAAUUCAAUCCUGAUAUUGCCAAAUGUGUGUUGGCGAAUGCUCCAUAUGGUUCUAAAUACACAUCAUCAGAAAUUCAGAAGGAGAUCUUGAGUAUAAGCAUGUAA
rnacentral:rRNA from 1 species